UUUUUUUUUUUUUUUUGGUUUUCCUUCUUCAGUUGCAAGGUUGAGAAAGCGUUCAAGGCUGAGUCUUUUUACAUUGGUUUUGAUGGAUAUAUGUAGCCUUCCAUGUAUAAUCACACUUGUGCUAAUUUGUGUUUCAUAUAUUUCUUGAACUAUUUCAUCUGCAGCUAGACAUGGAUUUUAUGCAAUGCGACAUCAGCAACUUAAAAUGGAGAGGUAUCUUUUUCACCUCACUUUUCAGCCCCGAAAGAAAAUAUCUCUCUCUCUUUCUCUUGGGUCAUUGAUAUUCCACUAUGUGUAGGUCAGAUUGUUGAAACUGUGGUUAUGAAUCCACCUUUUGGAACACGGAGGAAAGGUGCUGACAUGGACUUCCUCUCUUCGGCGAUGAAGGUACGGUAGUGCUCUCCAUAUAAUUGGUAUCCAAGAUUUAUAUUAUUUGCUCAAUAUCCUGUUUUGUUGUUUGCAUUGGCACUUUGGCCCCAUCUAUUCCUAGAUUAAUGUGUGGUUUUAUUGAUGUAUCAGGUUGCUUCUCAAGCAGUUUAUUCCUUACAUAAAACCACAACUAGAGAAGUAAGUUUUUCCAUACUGUCUUCCCACAACAAAGGGAUUGAUUGGUGAAAAAAAAUAUUUGUGUAGCAUCCACUGUAAAUAGCUUAAUUAUGAACUUUCUUGAGUUUGUGAACCAGGGACAUAAAGAACAGAGUCUAGGGUGACAGAAGAUACAGGUUUGGCUUUUCCAACCCCUUUUGGUUUUGUUUGGAUCCCAUUGGCUAAAGUAAUAGCUGGAAGAGAUUGUGAAUAAACAAUAUCAGACAGUAGUGAUUUAUUACCAGAGAUAUGAUCAGAAGCCCCUGAGUCUAUGACCCAUGAUCCAAGAGUGCUAGACUGUGACACACAAGUAAAUGAAUUACCCACAACAGAAACAUCAGGUUGUGCAACCGAAACUACUUGUGGAGACGUUUGUUUAUUUGCACGAUACCGAAGGAACUCUUUAUAUUCCUUUAGAACAAUAGGAUCAUAACUGGGUGGUGGACCAUGCAAAAUAUAACAUACGUCACGAGUGUGUCCAGGUUUAUGACAAUGACUACACUUGGAUCGAGAUUUUCCAAAACGUUCUCUCCUUCGUCGAUUCUCCAUAGACUGGUAUGUAUGCUGGAAACUGANNNNNNNNNNNNNNNNNNNNNNNNNNNNNNNNNNNNNNNNNNNNNNNNNNNNNNNNNNNNNNNNNNNNNNNNNNNNNNNNNNNNNNNNNNNNNNNNNNNNNNNNNNNNNNNNNNNNNNNNNNNNNNNNNNNNNNNNNNNNNNNNNNNNNNNNNNNNNNNNNNNNNNNNNNNNNNNNNNNNNNNNNNNNNNNNNNNNNNNNNNNNNNNNNNNNNNNNNNNNNNNNNNNNNNNNNNNNNNNNNNNNNNNNNNNNNNNNNNNNNNNNNNNNNNNNNNNNNNNNNNNNNNNNNNNNNNNNNNNNNNNNNNNNNNNNNNNNNNNNNNNNNNNNNNNNNNNNNNNNNNNNNNNNNNNNNNNNNNNNNNNNNNNNNNNNNNNNNNNNNNNNNNNNNNNNNNNNNNNNNNNNNNNNNNNNNNNNNNNNNNNNNNNNNNNNNNUAUUCCUAUUCCUAUUCCUAUUCCUAUUCCUAUUCCUAUUCCUAUUCCUAUUCCUAUUCCUAUUCCUAUUCCUAUUCCUAUUCCUAUUCCUAUUCCUAUUCCUAUUCCUAUUCCUAUUCCUAUUCCUAUUCCUAUUCCUAUUCCUAUUCCUAUUCCUAUUCCUAUUCCUAUUCCUAUUCCUAUUCCUAUUCCUAUUCCUAUUCCUAUUCCUAUUCCUAUUCCUAUUCCUAUUCCUAUUCCUAUUCCUAUUCCUAUUCCUAUUCCUAUUCCUAUUCCUAUUCCUAUUCCUAUUCCUAUUCCUAUUCCUAUUCCUAUUCCUAUUCCUAUUCCUAUUCCUAUUCCUAUUCCUAUUCCUAUUCCUAUUCCUAUUCCUAUUCCUAUUCCUAUUCCUAUUCCUAUUCCUAUUCCUAUUCCUAUUCCUAUUCCUAUUCCUAUUCCUAUUCCUAUUCCUAUUCCUAUUCCUAUUCCUAUUCCUAUUCCUAUUCCUAUUCCUAUUCCUAUUCCUAUUCCUAUUCCUAUUCCUAUUCCUAUUCCUAUUCCUAUUCCUAUUCCUAUUCCUAUUCCUAUUCCUAUUCCUAUUCCUAUUCCUAUUCCUAUUCCUAUUCCUAUUCCUAUUCUAAGUAGGAAAUACUUAUUUCUAUUCUAACAGUGGUGCUCAUAAAUCAUGCUGAUGUAAAUUAAGUUGCUGUCACUUCUCGACGAAAACAAAACAAAAAAAGAAGAAGAAAAGUUGCUGAUUUUAUCAAGGCAUGCCCUUUAUCAAUACAGUUAUCUGAAUGUUCAACUCCUAUUCUGAAUGUUGAAUUUACUCUUUCUAGCACAAAACUAAUAAAUAAGCUUAGAUUUACCAUUUAUGAACUAAAAAAGUAGUAUACUUUUGGUUUACUUAGUUGUUUUCGGUUGGGGCGAGGGUGGAUGGGAAGGGAAGAAGGAACCUUAUUAACUGAAACAUCCUCAAGCAAGUAUCCAUUGCCUUUGAAAUAAUUGUUGUUGGUGUUUCCUUAAUUAAUGGAACCGCGUUGAAGAAGAGGGAAUUGAACAAAGUCUAAGGUUUUCGAAGUAGAAAGUUAAUGAGGUUGGCCUGUUAGUGAAUGGAGGCUGACACAUUAUACAUUCGGGAAAAGGAAAGCUUCAUUGAGACAAUUCUAUUUCAUCCCAAAUUUAGAUCCUUUUUCAAAACAUUGGUGCUCGUGUCAGCUUUGUGACUAGUACAUGUAUUGAGUGACUCUGUGCACUAUGAUUUGGGCAGAUGAGAAGAGUUCACAUAGCGUUUGGAGUUCAACCCCUGGUCUCCAUGGUUUUCACUCCACAUCAUUAACCAAUGACCACUAGGCUACACCUUUGUGUCUCAAUAUUAAGUCAUUCAUUUUUAACCAUGUAUUUUUGUUCUUGUUUAUAGCAGUUAUGAUUCCCCUAGAUCUCUUCGCACUAAACGUGUUGCCUUGUUUGGUGUUCUAAAUUUUCUUUUGUUACACGAGUAAAACUGCAUACAAUUUGUGAAGUUCAUUCCAUGUUUCUGCGCACAAGAGUGCUCUGAUCUAGGUCGUGAUUUGGCAUUUGUGUAUGGUCUUAACAGCAUGUGAAAAGAGCAGCCUUGCGAGAUUAUAAUGCAAGAAGUGCUGAAGUUAUAUGUGAGGUACACAUCGAUACAAUCAGAUUCAGCAUUUUGCAUGCUAUUGAUGUUAAGUGAAAUUCGAUGUAGCCUUAUGAAUGUUUUGUGCCUUAUCUCUCUCAAUUGUAGCUUCGGUAUGAUGUGCCACAACUGUACAAAUUUCACAAGAAAAAGGAGGUUGACAUUGCUGUGGACCUGUGGCGUUUUGUUCCUCAAAGAAAGCAAGAAAGAUCUCUCUAGUAUUAUAAAAAUAGCAAGUAUACAGAGAUGAUGAUGCAUGUAAAAUUAAGGACACCCCAUUUCUUAACUGGAGCAGGAUGGAUAAUGGAUUCUCAUGUUGUUGCAAGUAUAGUUCUAUAAAGGAAGUACAGAAUAUUUUGUACCAUGCCUGCGUCUGCAAACUACUUUGACCUCCGGGGCUCUUAGUUCUAUUCUAUUAGCAAAGGUUGAGGGACUUGUGUCUUGAGUCACUUAUAAAUUAUAAUCUUAGUACAUCUGGCAUUUUGUUCCUCAAAGAAAACAAGAAAGAUCUCUCUAGUAUAUUAUGAAAGUAGCUAUAUUCAGAAUGUUAGUAGUAUAGACUUGAAUGUUGUCUCACUUAUCCUUCCAUACUAGUAGUUGUAGUAUUACUCUUGUACUUUCUUGUUUCUUCCAUAUAUGUUGCUACUAUUUAUUGUUCCUUGUAUUUCGAUCAUCGUUUUUUAUUCUAGUUACUGUUCAUUUUUUUCUUUUUUCAUAAUGCUUUCUCAUGCCUUGUUAGUAUUUUGCCUAGGUUUCUUCACUCCUGUUAAUUUCUUGAGCCGGGGGUCUAUUGAAAAUAACUUCUCUACCUCCCAAGGUAGGGGGGUAAGGUCUGCAUACACACUAUCCUUCCUAGACCCUACUUGUGUAAUUACACUGUGUAGGUUGUUGUAGCAGUAUGCAGAAGAGAUGCUAGUAAAAUCUCAGACACAUCUAUUGAUAUGACUAUUUAACCAUACUACCCCUAUUAAUUGAUGUUCAGUAUUAGGUCAUAAGUAAUUAAUGUUAAGGGUAAAACAUGGAAAAAUAAUAAUUGUCUCGUGGACAUAAUUAAAAGUGACAAGCAAAAAUGAAAAUCUAUAUUUGUAAUAGUAGACAAAUAAAAAUAAACAUACGGAGUAUCAGAGUGAUUCUACUUUUGGAUCGUCUCGACAUAAUUAACCAAAUCAAAUUGUGUUCUCUCUAAUAGUUUAAGCUUUGAGAUGGUCGUACACGCUCUUGGCUUAUGACAAAGCAUUACUAAGUGUGCUUUCUCUAGUAGGGUGAGUUUUAGAUGAGUCGCGGGUGGAGAUGUGCGCUUACGACAUAAUUAACUAAAUAAAAGUGUUUGUUACUUGUUACUCUCUAAUAGGAUGAGGUUUUAGAGCAAAAAGGUAUGUUUAAGAUAAAAUUGAUUAAAAAAAAGUUAUGUCCUAUUUGUUUAUCUUAGUGGACACUCAAUUUUAUAUCAUGAAUUAUUGAAAAGUAUGUUAGUUGGAACAAUUAGCAACCAGUCUUCUUGAUAUGUUCUUUUAUGUAUACUGUGAAAUUAGCCUUUUGAGUUCAGAGAGAGACUCUUUGAUUGAGAAGAAGGACAAAUGGCUUAUGUUGCUAUAACUUGUCAUAUGAGAACCAUACAACAAUCGAUGGAAGUUACUUGAUAUAAUUUUCAAUCGUUCUAUAAGAAGCUUGAAUCCCUGAGAGCUAUUAUGAGAAACCUUGCAAUAUAACAGGUGAUCUUGAAGUAUUGAAAAGAUUGGAAGCUGAAGUCGUAGAGCUUGUAUGCAGCACAGAAGAUAUUGUGGAUUUGGAAUCAAGAAAUGUUGAAAAUCCAAUUUCAAGAAUUAAUAACUUUUUGGAAACUUCAUUUUCUCUUGAAACAAGUAGUAGGGCGCGUUGAUUCCAUGGUGAACAAGUGGAAAGAUGUAGAAGCACAUAACUUGGCUUUCACCAGUACUACAUCUCAACAUGUUGUGGAGCCGAUUGUUGGCCAUAAAAAUGAAUUCGAGAUGAUGCAGGAUCAACUUGUCAGAGGAGCAAGUGAACUAGAAGUUGUCUCAAUUGUAGGUAUGGGUGGCAUCGGUAAAACAACUUUGGCUAACAAAAUUUACAAUGAUUCAUUCAUUAUGUCUCACUUUGACGUUCGUGCAAAAGCUACUGUUUCACAAGAGCAUUGUGUGAGAAAUGUACUCUUAACCCUUCUUUCUUGUAUUAGUGUAAAGACUGAUGAAUCUGAUGAUAAGUGUCAAGAGGAUGGGCAACUAGCAUAUCGAUUGCAAAAGCUUCUAAAAGGCAGGGGGAGAUUCUUGGUAGUCAUUGAUGACAUAUGGACUAGAAAAGCUUGGGAUGAUAUAAAACUAUGUUUCCCAGACUGUAAUAAUGGAAGCCGAAUACUCAUGAUUACUCGGAAUGUGGAAGUAGCUGAAUAUGCUAGCUCAGGUAUUCCUCCUUUUCAAAUGUGCCUCAUGAAUUUUGAUGAAAGUUGGAGUUUACUGUAUGAAAAGGUCUUUGUUGUGAGAGAUUCGUUUCCCCCAGAAUUUGAACAACUUGGGAAGCUAAUUGCAUUAAAAUGCGGAGGAUUACCUCUAGCAAUUGUUGCAACUGCUGGAGUUCUCUCGAAAAGUGGUAAAACAUUGAACGUUUGGAGAAGUGUUGCUGAGAAUGUAAGUUUAGCAGUAAGCACUGAUCUUGAAGUCCAAUGCAUGACAGUGCUAGCUUUGAGUUACCAUCACUUGCCUCGUCACCUAAAACCGUGCUCUCUGUAUUUUGCAAUCUUCCCAGAGGAUGAAGUGAUUUUUGUCGAUAAACAUGUGGAGUUAUGGGUUGUAGAAGGUUUCUUGAAGGUAGAAGAGACAAAGUGUUGAAGAAGUGGCAGAAAAAUGUCUAAAAGAACUUAUUGAUAGAAGUUUAAUAUCCAUACAGAACUUGAGCUUUGAUUGGGAAAAUCAAGAGUUGUGGAAUGCAUGAUGUGACUCGCAAACUCUGCUUGAGAGAAGCUCGAAACAUGAAUUUUGUGAAUGUUAUUAGAAGAAACAAUGAUCAAAAUCAAUGUGCACAACAACCCAUGUAUUUUUCCUCUAAGAGUCGAGGUCGGAUCAGCAUCCAAUUUAACCCUCUGUUAUACAAUAAAAUCGCUGAAAAAUUUGCUAGAUGUUGUAACAGUGACGUUCACUCUAUUUUCCUGUUUCGUGGACAACGAGAGCUUAUGCCAGAAUUGUUGGGCUUCAAGCUUGCAAGGGUACUACUAGAUCUUGCUUUAAUGAGAUGUUCUGCAUUUCCCAGUGAGAUACUUGAUUUGAUUCACUUGAGAUACCUGGCUUUGACUCUUUCUCCUUGCUUGAAGCAUCAUCUACGACGAGAGAGUCCUUUUGCCUUGCAGCACCAUCAACGACGAGAGAUUCCCUCAUCAAUAGAUGUUCCUUCAUUGAUAUCUGGCCUAUUUAUCUGCAGACUUUUAUACUUAACCUUCCAUUUUCCAUUGAUGGGGAACAUCCUUUGAUAUUACCAUCAGGAAUUCUGGUAAUGCCACAAUUAAGGCACACCUCUAUUUGGGAUGGAACUACUUGUGGUAUCACGAGCCUAUGGAGAAAAGAUUGGUUCUGAAAACUUUACAAAGUCUGUCUGGAUGGAAUCCGAGGUAUUGUACUAGGUCUGUCUUUAGUAUGUUUCCCAAUUUAAAGAUGUUUCAACUACGUGGCGUAGGGAAAGACUUUGAUAGUUUGUUGUUCUGUGAUUUUCUGCUGCUUAGAUCAGCUCGAGAAACUGGAAAUUUGUCUGAAUGAUUCUGCUAGUCAAUGCAUUACACCUUCAGGUGUUAUUUUCAGACGAAAAUGAUGGAACUGAUGGAGAAUCCGCUUCCUGAAAAUUUUGUUCCAGAUCUGAUCCUACUUCCUCCAUAUGCUUUUCCACAAAACCUUGAGAAUUUAGCUUUUUCCAGUACUACUUUGCAUUGGAAGGAUUUGAGCAUUCUUAGUAAGUUGCCCAAACUCGAGGCCCUCAAACUUAUACAUAAUGCCUGCAAAGGAGAGGAAUUGGAAGUAGUUGAUGAAGGUUUUCCUUGUUUGAAGUUCUUGAUACUGAGUUAUUCAGACAUUCAGUACUGGAGAGCUAGCUGUGAUCACUUUCCAUGUCUUGAAUGACUGUUUCUUGAACAUUGCUUUGCUUUGGAUUCAAUUCCUCAAGAUUUUGCCGAUAUAACUACACUUGCUCUUACUGAUAUAAGGAGGUGUGCAAAAUCUGUUGAGAAUUCUGCCAAACAAAUUCAACAGGACAUUCAAGACAAGUGCAAGUUCCGUUAAGGUCCAUAUCCUCUAGCCUUGUAAGAUAUCACCUUCCUUCAUUUGCUUCUUAUUUUCCUAUUUUUCUAGGCAUGUUGACAGUUUUUUAGGCAUUCCAUUUUCAAUUUCAGUUGUAAUGUUCCUGUAUUUACUUAACAGUUUGAAGUUCAAUAAAAGACAGUUCUUCCGACUCAAUUCUUCUUGCUUCUGCAAUUUUAGCAACAUACGAACCUACAGAAAGUCUCAAAUAGGGAAAAGGGUGCUUGGUUUUUCCUACCUAAACAAACGUUCAUCCUCAAAUGAGUUUAGAAUUGUAUAUUCUAAGCUGCCAAGUAAUUUUGGAUAUCUGUUCCGCAUGUCUGACUCAGUGUCCCAAGUAGCCUAUGAUAUCAUUGCACUUUCAGCGAAGCCAUCUCUUCUGACCUCAACUUCUGGACUUGUCUGUCUAAAAUAGGCACAGACUCCUCCUCAAAUGUAAGAUUCCGAUAAAGCUUCACCUUAUCCUACUGUAGCAUGUGGGACUUAUCCUCGUGAUAUUUCUUCAACAUCUACACAUCGGAAAAAUUCCAGAUGAACACUUGUUAAUCCCCAGUUCACCCUAAAAUUAGAAUAUCUAUGCAGAACAUGCAUAGAUAUCUGUAAUAGUAUCAAAAACUUAUCUCUUAUGAAGAACCACCUUUUUCACCAAAAUAUAUCCAGUUUUAUCUACAUGAUUCCUCCUCCAUACAUGUUAUAGUUAUAUCUCUAUAGCUUAAGUCAUCAACUAAGACUAGGUCUUUUCAAUAUAAUCUACAUACUGAAAUUAUUGGAAAGAAAAAUAUACCUAGUAUAAAGUAUCGAUUAACUGUUGUUGUAACGAAAGUGUAUAUAUAUCAAUACAUAUAGCUACUAUAAACUAAAAAUCAGCAUAGACCUUAACUUGAAUACCCAAAGUUCUGAAAUCAAAUCCUACUCAGUUGGUAACUUGUCUAGAAGCGAUUAUUUUCUUCUUCUAUAAUGCCUUUUACCUCGUUGCUUCUUUCUACUUCGCGUAAUAAUUUUGUGUUCCAACUCUUCCAUGAUUCUUGCUAGCCAUUUUGGAGUUUGAGUUGAGAUCAUGAAAUAUAUUAUGGAUAAUCCAAUACAUAGUCCACUUCCAUAGCCCAUAAGAGCAGCUUUCCAAAAAUCAUUCAGAAACUCCGAAUUGCUUUCUUGUUCGUCUGGUGCAGAUACGGUAUCAUUUGUCUCUGAUACCUGAUCAUUACCACAACCUUUUGAAACUGGAAAUCCAUGUAAUCCAUCAUUACCUUCAUAUGAACUGUUCUGAAAUGUAGCAAACUGAGGUCCUUGAGGAAUGCAUCCUUCAAGAUGAUUGUAGGAGAGAUUUAAAACUGCAAGACUUGUUAUAGAAGCAAGUUGUUCCGGUAUCUCUCCUGAAAGGUGGUUGAAUGAAAGGUCAAAUGAUUCUACUACCGCUAAAUUUCCAAGUGAUGGCGGUAUAUGACCUUGCAACCCAUUGUUAGACAAAUUCAACACCCGAAGUGCAAUGAGAUCUCCCAUAAUACUUGGAAUAAGUCCUUCAAAUUUGUUACUUGAAAGAUCCAUACUCGUGUAUAAAUACAAGAUUCUCACAACUUCAAACAUGCGUCCCUUCAUUACAACAACUACCGAGUCUUGGUAAUAGUGGCUUCCUUCAAUUGGUGCAUUCUUUGUUUGAUUAGUUGUCUUCAUGGCGUUCAAAUGUUGAAAUAGACUUGUCGGCAAGUUUCCUGUGAAGGCAUUGCGAGAGAGAUCUAAUAUUCGAAGACCAGGAAACAUGUUUCCAAUCCUUGAAGUUCUAAUGGGUCCAUGCAAUUUAUUCGAUCUCAAACUUAAAACCUGCAACAUUGAUAGAGUUCCCAACCACAUGGGGAAUGUAUCAUUGAGGUGAUUGUCUCCUAAAUCAAGAACUUGCAACUCUUUACAAUUGGCUAAAGAUCGAGGGAUUUUCCCUUGUAGUUCAUUUCCAUGAAAGUUGAAGGUUCUAAGUGAACAUCCAAUAUCAAAACUUGUUGGAAGAAUCCCAGAAAGAUUGUUGCAGCGCAUAUCCAAAAUGGAGAGGCCACUGAUAUUACCCAAACAUUGUGGAAUCUCUCCCCUGAAAUUGUUUCUUGCGAAAACUAGAGUUUGUAGUGAUGUCGAAUUGCAAAUAGACAAAGGGAUCACACCUGAAAACUGGUUGUUACUAAGAGAAAGGAACUCAAGAAGCUUCAGACUGCCGAGGUUAGAAAUGCUGUCGGGCAGCUCACCACUAAACCGGUUAGUGUUGAGGUCAAGGGUUUGAAGAGAUGUCAAUUUGCCAAUCUCAGAAGGAAUGGUUCCACUGAUGUUGUUCCGAAAAAGCUGCAACGUCCUUAGAUUGGUCAGGUUUCCAAUGGUUGGAGGUAUUGUGCCUGAAAGCUGGUUCUCAGAGACAUCUAGAUCCAGCAAGUUUUGCAACUUACCAAUCUGAUAGGGAAUGGAACCAGUGAAAUUGUUACUAUAGAGGUAAAGAUAUACGAGGUUUUUCAACUGGCUGAUUUCAGGUGGAAUUUUCCGUGAAAAUGAAUUGUUUUGAAGCUGCAAAGAUGUCAGCUCAGUCCAAUUGGUAAUGAGAUAUGAUUGAACCUCACCAGAAAGAAAAUUAUCAGACAAGUUCAAGUCAGAUAACUUGGUCACCGCGGACAAGGAUAUAGGCAAUGGUCCUUGCAGGAUAUUCUCUGCUAGAGCCAAGAAAAUGAGGUUAGUACAAAGACCUAACUCAGAAGGAAUGGUUGAACUCAAACGAUUCUUUCGAAGAUCAAGUUGUUGAAGAUUUCUAAGUCUACCUAUAGAAGAUGGAAUCUUUCCUUGAAGUGAAUUAUUGAAAAGUACAACAACUUCAAGACUGCUGAUCAGAGAAAUUUCAUCAGGAAUUAAGCCCGAAAACAUGUUGACACCAAGCUGAAGUUCUUUUAACUUGGUCAACUUGGUAAAAUUUGGUGACAAUGAACCUUGAAAUGAAUUAGAUGAAAGAUUGAGUUGUUCAAGCUUAUCCAAGUUGGUGAAUAGUGUUUCUGGUAUUGAACCAUUCAAAUGGUUUAUCGACAAAUCGAGGUAAGUCAGAUUAUGGCAACGGAGUACAAAUUCAGGGAAUUCUAAUGUUAGUUCAUUAUAACCAAAGCUCAAAUAUGUCAACAUAGGCAUAUUCCUCAAUUUGGACCAAUCAGGAGUUUCUAAAAAAUUUGAUCCAAGAUCCAAGUGCCAUACCUUCUGAAGAUUACUUAUUUGGUAGGGAAUAACAUCAAUGAUAUUGUUGUUAUAGAAACUGAGAUAUUCAAGUUGUGUUAACUUCUCAAUCUCUUCUGGUAUGACACCCUCCAAGAUAUUGUUGCUCAGGUCCAAGAAAGUGAGCAUAGAAGCAUUGCCAAUAUUUGAUGGUAUCGAUCCACUUAAGUUGUUGCCAUUGAGAGAAAAACUUGUGAGACUCGGAAAUGAAGUGAAGUCAAGCUGAUCAAGAGUGCCUGAGAGGCCUGCAUCAGAAAGAUUGAUAUCGGAAAUUGUUCCACCAGCAUUGCAGACAAUAGAUGUCCAAUUGCACAAGUUUCCGAGAUUCGAAAUGGACCAUGAAUCCAAGAAAGAAGCAGAAGAUAAGUUCAUCUUCCAUUUGACAAGAGCUUCAGCUUCAGUUGUUGCUGAUGAUGUAAUUGUGAAUGGAAGUGAAAAAAGAAGAAGCACAAGUAGAAUGUAAAGGAAGGUACUGUGAGAAGUUGUCAUGUCUAAUAGGUAGAGUACUUGGUUUCAAGAACAAUAAUACAACUUUUUUGAGCUUUUACAUUAAAAGGGUUCUCAUAGAUAUAUAUACUAGCGGACGAUGACUUGUAAGCCUUGAAGCCAAAGGGGAAAAAGAUUAUGAUAAUCGGGAUUGAUGUACAAUUGAAUCACAAAGUUGAAGAAAGAAAAAGUUUAGAAAAAUUGAAUCACAAAGUUCAUUUCGAGGUCAUUAACUAUCGCUGCAGUGUGUGUUAGACAAGAUGAUGUGAAGUUGAUCCCAUUAUGUGGAAAAAAUUUCUGCAGAACUUCUAAGAAAUUUCCAAUGACGGAAACUAUUGCUUGACUAAGUCAAGUGAGGAAAAAAAUGAAUAAUAAUACCGUGUGGAAUUUUAUUUUUUUUCUUUUAUUUGCUUUUUAUUCAAAAUUUUGUUUGAUAUGUGUCUUAAUUUUCUGCAUAAUUAGCAUGUGUUUGAAUAACUUGGUGAAUAUCAUUUUAUGAGAAAUUUCCAAGAAGAAAAAUCAGGGACGGCUCAACAUAAUUUGUGGCCUAAAGCGAAAUUUUUAUUAGAGGCCUAAAAAUCUAUAUAAAUUUUAUCUAUAUCUAUUUAUUUUUCUAAAUUUCUAGAUGUAAAUUACUACUUAAUAUCUUUUAUAUAAAUGAUUUUUCAAACACUUUUUUUUAAUUAUUAGUUUUAAGUAAGAUUUUAUCAAUUCAGCAUUGAAAAAACAUCCUUUUAUUGAGACAAUUAUUAUAUGAAUUAUUAACACAAUUUUAUAAGUAAUAAGUUGAUAAACUUUAAAGAUAAGAGUUAGAAUCAUAGAAUCUGAUUCAAAAAGUUGAUAACUUGGUAUACCUACUUUAAUUAUGAAGAUUUAACAAAAUUAAAAUUUUUUUUUAAAAAAAUUUAGUAUGCACUUUGUUCAACACUUUUCGACUAUUGAUUCAUAUUUUUGAAAGUGUAUUACUCUAACUAUCAAAGAUUUGAAGAAAUAGAGUGCAAAAAGAGUUACAAAGGAUAAAUAAUGUGAGUGUUAACGAAGAAAAUGUAAGAAUCCAAAACAAUGUUUCCUUAAUUUCUUCUAUUUGAAUGGGGUUAAGAUACAUAAUUUUUUAUUUAUAAAAAUUUGAGAUGCCUAAAAUUUUAUAGGCAAGAGCCGGCCCUGAGAAAAAUGUGAAUUAUAUUGGGAUUUUUCUGGGGAUUAUUAAUGAAAAUUCGCAGGAAAAUAUGUUUCCUACGGAUUUUCCUAUCAAAAAGAAUCCGAAGUUUUUAACGGCAAUUAAUUAAGUUUAAUUGCCGCUAAAUAUGUAUUUUUAAAGGCAAUUUACACUCUUGCAUAUGUCCCUAAACCCUUUAGCGAUAUUGGAUCUAACGAUACUUAACUAUUAAUGUGUAUAUUUAUUGCCGCUAAAAGUUGUUUUUGUUGUAGUGUUUAUUGCAGUGAUUGUAAUUCAAAGAAUACACCAAAAAACAAAUUAGAUCUUUUUUUUUAACACCCAACAAUUUAUUUUGCAUAAUGCAAAAGGUUUUACUGUUUGGUAGGCUUUAGAAUAUUCAAUAAUUAAUAAAUAAAAAUAGUAAUAGGAAUUAAAAGGUAAAAAUAAUAAUAUGGGUUCAUGAAGAUCGUCAAUAUAUAAAUAAGUCAAUAAAAUAAGUAGUCAUGUAAGAAAGAAUGUUAUAAUUAUCUAAACACUAUUUUAUUUCUUAAUUAUUACAACGAACAGUUAACUAAACACUAUUUGAUAAAGUAACGUUGUUGACUUGUCUAUGCAUGGGACUAUGAGGUAUAAAAUGGGGUACUAACUAAUUUGUGGUUGCAAAAAAAGUUGUCCCAAGUGUUAACUCAAGUCUUUAAGUAAGUGUUGGUAGAUAGUACCACUUUCGCAUCACCAACUACGUAACUUGUGGUCCAUGGAUGAGUACUACUCACUUCUAACAACUUGUUACUCAUAUUUUGUAGUGUUCCACAAGACUUUUUAGAGGACGGAAAAGACUUAACAAAAUAAUACUCUCUAUGUCCUAAUUUUCUCUAGAUGUUGAGUUCAUUUCGAGCUCAUUAACUAUUGAUGCAGUGUGUGUUAGGCAAGAUGAUGUGAAGUUGGUCCCAUUAUGUGGAAAAAAUUUCUGCAGAACUUCUAAGAAAUUUUCAAUGAGAGAAACUAUUUCUUGACUAAGUCAAGUGAGGAAAACAAUGAACAAUAAUACCGCGUUGAAUUUUAUUUUUAUUCUUUUAUUUGCUUUUUAUUCAAAAUUUUGUUUGAUGUGUGUCUUAAUUUCCUGCAUAAUUAGAAAUUUUAUGAGAAAUUUCCGAUUAGUUGUCUCUUGUGCUGUUUUCCAAGACAUUUCACAUUUAGUUAAAGAGGGAAACUCCAUCUAUAUGAUACAGUUCAAACAUGAAGAGAUGGAGAAUAACUAAAGUAGUAGAGCGGCUGUUUUCGUAGACCACUACAGAAAAAAUGUGAAUUAUAUAUUGGGAUUUUUCUGGGGAUUAUUAAUGAAAAUUCAUAGGAAAAUAUGUUUCCUACGGAUUUUUCUAUCAAAAAGAAUUCGAAGGUAAAACCUUCGUAGGUAAUUAUUUCCUGUGAAUUUCAAAAUCCCCAAGUAAUUUAUUUAGGGAUUUAAAUAUCGCAGGUAAAUAACUUGCGAAUUUUCUUGCAAAAAACACCAAAAACAUCCCAAAUUUUUUCCAAUUUAUUCUCAAGUAAAUCCGCAGAAAGAUAUUCUAAUAAAUCUUUAAAAGUUUCUUGUAAAUAAUAUUAACUAUUAUUUUCCAGUUACAUCUAACACCACUCACCCCACUGCCCACCCAUUUAUCUUGCAUACCAUUUUUCAUACCACUUGAACACAAUUUUAAUUCCCCCACCCAGAGUGCCCAGUUGAAUUUGUUGGUGCCCACCCAUUUAUUGUUGCUCUUUGAAAUUUUAUUCCACUUGUGUUUAGUCGUAGCAUUAUAAAUGCUAAUCAUUUCAUGCCAUAUCAAUAAGGUUAAAAAAUAUAUCUUAAAUGUUGGCUAAAGUUCAUUUGAUUUAACUCUUAAAAAGUGAAAAUAUAUAUUUAAAAUAAGGUAAAAUAACUUUAAAGGAUUGCUUAAACUGAAGCAAAGCAGAAGCUUCAGUGGGAGAGCAAAGAUGAUGAUCAAAGGAAGAACAAAAGCAUCCACUUAUUAACAACACAAAACAGAGAAAUGAAUAAAAGAAAAAGAAACUAACCAUUUUUGUUUCUUUGUUUUCAGCAAAUAACAGGAUGUGUUCUUCUUACAAAUCAAUUAGCAUUAUCCAUACAUAUAACUAUGCUACUUUCUAAGUUGCACGUGUGUCCCACGUAAAUUUUUAUAGAUUCAUAAGAACAAUCAAAAUUCUAAGAAAACAUGCCUGCAGAGCUGUCUUAACAAGUUUGGGGGCCUAUAGCCAAAUUUCACUGCGAGAUUUUUUUAGUUGUCAUACAUAAAUUGAAUACCUAUAACAUAGUGAUUAAUGUAAUCCUACAAGUAAAGUUUCAAGAAGGUAGGAUGUACACAAAGUCAUAGACCAUUAUAAAGUAAGAAUACAAACAACAAAAAAUUUCAAUGAAAAAUUAUAUAAUAUUAAGUUAGAUUAAUAAAAUCUUACUCAAAACCACAUAAUAUUAAUUAUGCACUAUUCUCUAAAGUCACUCAACUAUAAAAAAAAUUUCCAGAAAGUCACUCAACUAUGACUUCUUUUCUUAGAAAGUCACUCAACUUUGAAUUUUAACUCAAAAGUCAAUCAAUUAUGAGUGUUUUACUUACAAAAUCACUCAACUAUAAGUAUUUUACUUACAAAGUCAUUUGACCUAUUUAAUUAAUUUUUUAACUUAAAUUUGCUGUAUAAAAUUUUAUUAAAAGCAAUUAAAAAAAUAAAAGAAUAUUCAUUUAAAUCAUUUAAUGAAUGACCUGCUAAAAAUAUAACAUUCAGUGAAAAAUGUAUUGUACAUUACUAAAUCAUUCAUUGGGACAAAUAAUUCCGACGUAAAAGAUAAUUAUUUUUUAAUAUUAAAUAACAUAUACCAUCUCAAGAAUGAGAUUUAAACCACAUAUAGAUACAUAUAAAUCAUAGAUAUCCCUGAAAAAGUAGAAUUUCUGACCGAUAGAACACAAAUAGAAUAAUAGGGCAAAGACAACUUGUAAGCUUUUAUAGAGUAUUGCAAUGUAAAGAAUAAAAAAAGGUUUUAAGAGAAAAUUAUUAAUGCGGAAGACGAAAGAAUAAUGCGGAAAAUGAAAGGUAGAAUCAAUCUUAAUAACUAAACAAAUAGUGAAUGGCCAUGUUCUGACUUAAUCAUAACUUAAAUGUGAAGCAUUAAACUAAUGUUGGAAUGAGUGUAAACGGAAGAAGCUCAAAGGAUAACAAUUAAAGCCUCAUUAAGAAAUGAUAAACUCUAACAGCUAACCAUGUAUUUGGUCUAAUUAACUUUUUUAUUAUUUAUUUAAUAAAAAAAAUAGUGAAGGGUAGUUUUGUAAUUCAACUUUGAGGUUAGGAGCUUCCCAUUUAUAGUAUAACUAGUCCUUAGGAACGUGCGUUGCACGUUUAUCCCAUAUUAUUAAAUUAUUAUAUAGAAAAUAUUGAAAUUAACAAUAUUAACUUUAUCAUUUACAUCAUAUUCAUUAAAUAAAAUUCAUAAUAGUGGAAUGUUUUUUUUUUUUUAAUUCAUAACAGUGGAAUGUUGCAUUUGCCAUCAAGCAAGAAAUGUGAAGCUAAUUAAGAUAAUAUAACAUGUAAUGGUAUGAAUAUGUCGAUAUAACUUAUCCUCAAUAAUCUCUCAUUAUGCACUUUACACAUAGAUCCCAUAUCCAAUUUGAAAACAUAAAAAGAAAAUUUUAAGAAUAAAUAUAAAAAUCACUUACAAAGGAACCAAUUUACAUGAAAUAAAACAAAAUUUUAAAUUUUUGGAACAUUUCCAAACACCUUCAACAGACAUGUAUCCUUCAUCUACAUCAAUUAGAAUAAAAAAUAAAAUAUAAAAAUUAUUAGUGUAUAAAAGAGUAUAUAUUUUUAUUUCAUUCUAAUCCAUACAUAGUGAUAAAAUCUAUUGUCUUCCAAAUAUUCAUUCUCUAUCUAUCAAUAUUAUCACAUAUGAUGACGUCUUCGAUCCAAAUGCAACACUAAUGCUACUAUCCCUAACAGUUCUAAAAAGACAAUGAUAUUCUUUUUCUUCUGUACCUAGAAGAUCUAGUGUAAAGGAACCAAAAAAGUAAUAUUGGAGCAAAAUGAGGUAAACAACAUAAUAGUUAGAUAUGGUCAUAAUUAUUAUCUAGAAUAAUUUUCUUCCAAAGAUGAUAGCUAGGUCAGGUCUGAAACAUGAAAAAUUAAGCUCUAACAAAAUAAGGUGAAAAAUUAAAUGGAAGAAAGAAAAGCAACGACUAUAUAUAUAUAUUAUAUUAUGUGAAAUGACAAAGAAAGGAAGAAGAGAGUUCAAUUCACUUACCCAAAGUAUGUAAAUCAGUGAAAGCACCGAUUUGAAUUCCUCCGACAAUUACCUAAAAACUAAAUAUUAAAAGAGAAUUUUCUCAAAAUAUGAAAAUAUAUUAGAUAAUGUUAAAAACUAACUUUGUGAAUAGAUGGAUUUCAACCUCCGUGAAAAUUUUCAAUAUCCAUUUCCAUCAUUGCAUGCUCCGUAUGAACUUUUAGAACUUAUACACAUUUUUCUUCUGUAAAAAGCAAAAAAAUACAAUGAAAGUAAUAAGUAAUCAACUAAUGUAUUUAGAGAAAAAUGAAAAUUUUAUUUAAUAAUCAUGCAUUUUUGCAAAAAUAAUGACCAUCGGCUGGCCACCUCUUUGCUACACAAAUAUUAUAUAUAGCUCUCCAAAUUUAUUACCCUCGCAACUCUUCAUUCUCUUUAUUUUAUAUUAUAGCUCUCAAAAUUUAUUACCCUUGUAACUCUUCGUUCUCUUUAUAUUUUAUUAUCAUAAUUAUAUAGCAAUAAAGUGAACAUUUCUCUCAUAAUUAAUUACCUUGCAACUCUUCAUUCCCCUUCUUUAUUAUAAUUAUUAUAACAAUAGGUGAAUAUUUAUAAGUAGAGAGAGAAUAAUUAAGAUUAGGAAGGAAAUGAGAAGCCAACAAACGGAGAAAACAAACAAGUAGGUAUAUGAUGAUUAGCAUUAGUAUAAUAAUAUAAUAAUAUGCUAUAUGAUUGUUAUUUAAUUAAUUAAUUUUUAUUACUUUUUUAAUUUAAUAUAGGGAUAUUUUCGUAAUUCAACUCUUGAAGUUAAGCUCUUCCCACUUAUAAUAAUAUAUGAUAUGAUGAUAUGAUAGAGAGAGAGGUGAACCACAAUUUUUUUGUGGAAGAACCAAACAUAUCAAAGAUGCAUGGAUAUAAUGAAAUGGAAACGCGUAUGAAUUUGAGGGUUCAAUUCAGGUGUGGUCAGUUUAAAUUGGUAUGAGUACCGCGUUGGAAGUGGCCCUACCAGUACCAGAAGUGAUAAUAAAAGUGGGAAUGCUGUUACUAGAACGAAUGCAAGUAUUGAAAGCUGGCUGGACAUCAUGGGAUAACUAUUUCCUUUAGUAGUGAAACAAUGGAAAAUUGUGGUCACUGGAUAAACUUUGAAAGAUUGAUCCAACUUUAAUGUCCUUUUCUUUAGAAAUUAUUUUUGGGAAAAAGGACGAAUUUACCCCCGAACUUUGAUAAAUGGUACGUCUAUGCCCUCCGUUAUACUUUGGGUCCAUCUCAGCCCCUGCCGUCCAAUUAUCGGUACACACAUGCCCCUCUCACUAACGGCCCCCUCAUCCUGUACACGAGUUUUAAUCCUAAUCAACUAUCCAUUUGACCAUUAUUUUUAACCCAUAAACUAACAACCCGCCCCAUAAACCCAUACCCACCCGAUUCCCUCUAAAAUAUCCUAAAUCAAUUAACAGAUCCAAAUCUUCCGGGUCUCUCGUUCCUCUCACAAUAGAGUUGAAAAAUGAGAAUUGAGUAGUACUUUUAUAGUACUGGUGAGAAAUCUCACGGCGGUAAUGAUGUUGAUGCUGAUGCUGUUGAUGAUGAGAAUACUUUGAUAGUACUAAUGAGAAUCUUUCUCAACCGAAGGAAGAAGCUGAAUCAGCGUCGUGGAUCCUUCCGACACCGAAAGAAGGGAUUACAGCUCCGACGGAGUUGUGCCGGUGCAAAACAACAACGAAACAAGUACUCAUUUACCAUGUUCAGUCGUUGAUGGAUUCCCUACCUACGAAAUCGAUUUCGCUGGAUCUAAACCUUACAUGUACAAUUUCACCUCUCAAUCCAUUAGCCAAAGUGUAUGCAUCUGUAUCUUCUCUCGUCUAUUUCCUUCUUCCUCUUCCUUCACGUGAAUCGAUCUCAUUUUGCUUUUGUUUAACUAAUAGGUUUCAUCAUCAUCUCUUGACGUCGGAGUUGUACCGGACCACAGUGCAAUGACGGAUAUAUCAAACACUUUUGUGAUGAACUCAUCAGCCGGUGCGGAUGUCAACGCUCUGCCGAAUGCAAUUUCCGGUUUAGACAGAGAAGCAAGGGUAAUGAGGUAUAGAGAGAAGAGGAAGAAUAGAAAGUUCGAAAAGACGAUUCGAUAUGCUUCUAGAGAAGCUUAUGCUGAGACUCGACCCAGAAUCAAAUGGAGAUUCGCUAAACGUACUGAAAUUGAAAUCGAUUCACUCAUCGCCGUCGAUGCAUCAUAAGGCGUCGUUCCAUCGUUUUAGUUUUUAUAUCUAUUUAUUAUCCCUUAGUUUUAAAAAAAAAUCGAAGAAAAAAUCGAAUUUUAUUUUUCUUUUUUCUUCUUUAUGUUGUUGUUAUUAGUGAGGAGGAUCGUAACUAUGUGUUCAUAUAUCUAAUUUUGUUUCCCAUUUUGUGUAAUUCAGUAGCUGUUUUUUGUUGUAAGUUUUAGCUUCAAAACUACUAAUUUAAAAAAAAGGGAAAAAGGACGAAUUUACCCCCGAACUUUAAUAAAUGGUACGUUUAUGCCCUCCGUUAUACUUUACGUCCACAUAAGCCCCUGCCGUCCAAUUAUCUAUACACACAUGCCCCUCUCACUAACGGACCCAUUGUUUUGUACACGUGUCUUAAUCCUAAUCAAUUACCCAUUUGACCAUUCUUUUAACCCAUAAACCCACAACCCGCCCCAUAAACCCAAUAACCCACUCGAUUCCCUCUAAAAUAUCUAAGUUAAUUAAACAUUCCAAAGGAAGAGUCAGUGAAGGUUGAAAAUCACUCCAAUGGUGGCGGGUGCCGGUGGCCUUGUCGAUUUUCCAUCUUUGGCCGCUGCCGCCACCACCAAAACGAAGAAGAAGAAGCCAUAAACCCUAUCCCUUCAAGAGUUCAGCACUUGUAGCGCUGCUAAGCAAUCUCAAACUGCCGCCACUGUGGCAACCAAAGGCUUGACACCAGAGGAAGUUUUGAUGCUACAUUCUCUAGGGCUUCAAUUCUUUUACACUUUGGAAUUCCUUAAUUACCCUUUCCAAUUUAAUAUUUUCUUGGCGUUGUUCAUCUUGAGCUAUGUUAAUUUAUUUCUGUCUUCCAAACCUUCACAACUAUUGAUGCUUAACUAACAUACACUUGAUUAAUUUAUACAUUAUUAAAAUGCAAGAUUAAAUUAUUCAAUUACUGAUUAAAGUUGUACAGUAUACCUGAUUUAAAAAUACAAUAUAUAAUUAUGCAACUUGACUUAGGUUUAUUAUUUUAAUUGAAUCAGUACUAUUCUGUUCGUACGGUUACGACAGGCAAGGGGGAAGGGGUUCGUCGGACGAUUCUCGUAGGCAGGGAGGGUUCCGAAGGGAUACUAAUAGGGAAAUGGCUCCCUCUCGUGCCGACGAGACUGAUGAUUGGGGGUGCAGCUAAGAAAAACAUCGGCUGGUAAUGGUUUUGAAAGAAGGUGGAGAGAGGUGAAAGGGGAGGUUUUUUUUCCGAUUCCCAGUCUAAAGUUGAUGAAUCUGAUAAUUAGGCAGCGAAUAAAGCUUUUAUACCCUCUUCUGGUCGAAGAUUUGAUAGGAGAGGGAGUUUUGGGUCAAACGGUUAAUUCCGAUUCUGAUCGGUGGACCAAAAGGAAGGAAGAGGAAGGUGGACGGAGAUUUGUCUCCGGUGGUGGUGCAUUGACAGUUUAAGAGAAAGAAGAGGUGGGUUAUUAGGUUUAUGGGGCGGGUUGUGGGUUUAUGGGUUAAAAGAAUGGUCAAACGGGUAGUUGAUUAGGAUUAAGACACGUGUACAAAACAAUGGGUCCGUUAGUGAGAGGGGCAUGUGUGUACCGAUAAUUGGAUGGCAGGGGCUUAUGGGGACGCAAAGUAUAACGGAGGGCAUAGACGUACAAUUUAUCAAAGUUCGGGGGUAAAUUUGUCCUUUUUCCCUUAAAAAAUAGAAAUUUGUAAUGGAUAAAUUUUGUAUUAGAAUUGUAUUUAAUUUUGUUUAACAAUGCAUUAUAGAUAGGAACGAGAGACCCGGAAGAUUUGGGUCUUUUAAUUGACUUAGGAUAUUUUAGAGGGAAUCGGGUGGGUAUGGGUUUAUGGGGCGGGUUGUUAGUUUAUGAGUUAAAAAUAAUGGUCAAACGGGUUGUUAAUUAGGAUUAAGACACGUGUAUAGGAUGAGGGGACCGUUAGUGAGAGGGGCAUGUGUGUACCGAUAAUUGGACGGCAGGGGCUGAGAUGGACCCAAAGUAUAACGGAGGACAUAGACGUACCAUUUAUCAAAGUUCGGGGGUAAAUUCGUCCUUUUUCCCAUUAUUUUUUACCACCACCAAUUAAUUUGGCAGCAUGUUUAUCUUUCAAAGUUGAGUCCUUUCUUUGACUGCACUAAAAAUCAAGGGAAACUAUGCACAAACUUCCCACAUGGUACAAACAAUUGUCCAAAUGAUUUGCCUUUGCCCAUGUAGCUAAAAAUAUUACUCAGCUGCCCAUGCUUCUCUUUGGUGUGACAUUAGCGUGGCGUCAUGCUGGCAUGGAAGAUCACCGUCCUUCGUCUCCCAUGGACAGGCAAUACAAUGAUUCGAUACUCUGUGACAACUGGUCCAUACAUCUACUCUUCUACCCCUUAAAUACCGGGCUUUUUGUUAGCACCAAGAUUCGAACUCACACAACAUGCACUUAACCAAUACAUCACAUGUUGCACUUUUACCACUUGACUAAAACAUUGGGGGUUGAUUCUAAAAAAAAACUACCAGUAAGACAGAAACCAUACACAGAUGUUAAACUAGAGGUAAUGGACCAAACUGUGAUCACAUACGAGGUGCAAGCUGGCUGCACAUGAAUUUUUUUCGUCACCAAGCUUCUGAUCUUUUCCGAGGGUUGGGAAGGUUAUUUACAUGAAACCGAGACUCUGCAUUCAUGUCAUCUUCAGAAAAUUGAAAGGUGAAGCAAGUAAUGACUUUCAUGUCAAGUUAUAUUAGCGAUUAAGUUCAAUAUAAAGUAAGCAAACAUGAUCCCAUUCAUUACACUCUAAAGGUCCUAAAGCUGCCAACCAGCAUUUCACUAAGUCCAAUACCAUCUUGAAACACAAUAAGUCUUACAUCCACAGAAAAAAAAGAGAAGGGAGACUCAAAGAGUUGUGCCUCCGGUUUGAUGCAACAUUGCAUCAAUUUCAUCACCAUCUUCCAUCUCCAGCUGCAAAAAGGAGGAAAUUUGUAAGAAAAAUAAAUUAAUCACAAUUGUCAAGGACAAC
rnacentral:lncRNA from 1 species